UAUUGAUCUAUUGCCAUUUAUUCUUCUUUAGUGGCCCUUCUGCUUGGUACUAGAAUCUCAUAUUUUUGUUUAGUCUUUUGAGACUUAUAAGCGUGUUGUGAGUUUUCUGAUUUGAUUGAAGUGAUUGUGGUUUUACCAGAUAGCGAGAAGAAAAGUGUGAUAUUUUCCUGGGGAUUGGAAGGGAGGAUUGAUAGCUGUCGCCACGGUUGGGUUGACUUCUGAAGCAGCUUAUCAUCUUGAGUGCAAGCUUUUAGGAUUCUUUUGAGCAAUCUCCAAAGAAGGCCAAGCAAGACCAUGACAAUGGCAAGACUAAUGGAAAAGCUGGAGAAUCUGUUGAU